rnacentral:rRNA from 1 species
CCUACGGGUGGCAGCAGUGAGGAAUAUUGGUCAAUGGGCGCGAGCCUGAACCAGCCAAGUAGCGUGAAGGAUGACUGCCCUACGGGUUGUAAACUUCUUUUAUAUAGGAAUAAAGUGAGGCACGUGUGCCUUUUUGUAUGUACUAUAUGAAUAAGGAUCGGCUAACUCCGUGCCAGCAGCCGCGGUAAUACGGAGGAUCCGAGCGUUAUCCGGAUUUAUUGGGUUUAAAGGGAGCGUAGGUGGGUUGUUAAGUCAGUUGUGAAAGUUUGCGGCUCAACCGUAAAAUUGCAGUUGAUACUGGCAGCCUUGAGUACAGUAGAGGUAGGCGGAAUUCGUGGUGUAGCGGUGAAAUGCUUAGAUAUCACGAAGAACUCCGAUUGCGAAGGCAGCCUACUGGACUGCCACUGACACUGAGGCUCGAAAGUGUGGGUAUCAAACAGGAUUAGAUACCCUAGUAGUC